rnacentral:rRNA from 1 species
CUUGAAAUACCACCCUUUAAUGUUUGAUGUUCUAACGUGGACCCGUGAUCCGGGUUGCGGACAGUGUCUGGUGGGUAGUUUGACUGGGGCGGUCUCCUCCUAAAGAGUAACGGAGGAGCACGAAGGUUGGCUAAUCCUGGUCGGACAUCAGGAGGUUAGUGCAAUGGCAUAAGCCAGCUUGACUGCGAGCGUGACGGCGCGAGCAGGUGCGAAAGCAGGUCAUAGUGAUCCGGUGGUUCUGAAUGGAAGGGCCAUCGCUCAACGGAUAAAAGGUACUCCGGGGAUAACAGGCUGAUACCGCCCAAGAGUUCAUAUCGACGGCGGUGUUUGGCACCUCGAUGUCGGCUCAUCACAUCCUGGGGCUGAAGUAGGUCCCAAGGGUAUGGCUGUUCGCCAUUUAAAGUGGUACGCGAGCUGGGUUUAGAACGUCGUGAGACAGUUCGGUCCCUAUCUGCCGUGGGCGCUGGAGAACUGAGGGGGGCUGCUCCUAGUACGAGAGGACCGGAGUGGACGCAUCACUGGUGUUCGGGUUGUCAUGCCAAUGGCACUGCCCGGUAGCUAAAUGCGGAAGAGAUAAGUGCUGAAAGCAUCUAAGCACGAAACUUGCCCCGAGAUGAGUUCUCCCUGAGACUUUAGGUCUCCUGAAGGAACGUUGAAGACGACGACGUUGAUAGGCCGGGUGUGUAAGCGCAGCGAUGCGUUGAGCUAACCGGUACUAAUGAACCGUGAGGCUUAACCUUACAACGCCGAA